CGGAGUGGACAGAGAGGGCCUGGGACUGCGUCCUGGGUUAUAUAUUAUAUAAAGGUGCUGGGCCAGUUUCAAGUGUCAGAACUGGUCAGACAGGUUGAGGGAGUUUCAUUCCUCACUCAGUGGAACAGAGGGAACUUUCAACUUCAUCAGGAAAUGAAAUGAUUCUUCUGGCUCCCACAGCCUCUCCAUGUCUGCAAGUUGAAUCCAGGAACUUCUAAGACCAUGACAUGAGUUACCCUGGGGCAGCAUCAGAGAAGGACCAUGGCUUGCCCCCCAUUCCCAUUGAACCGAGGCCCACUGCUGGGAGAAAGUGCGGCAAGCCACAAGGUAAGUGUUCUGGGGAGCCCAGGUCUCAGCAUUCAUCACCAAGUGCAGAUCUGUACAUGGUUUCUGCCCUUAGCCAUUGAGUCACUCACCAUCUUUGAGUCUUUCCAGCUAAGGCCUCAGUCUUGGUGGAGCAGAGACAAGCUGUCUAUUUUCUACAUUUGUGUUCCUUCCAAAUUCCAGAUCCACAAAAUCUUUAAGUAUAAGGAAAUCAUUGUUUUAAGGCACAGUGUUGUGGAGCAAUUGCCAUGUAAAAGAUACACAUGGAAUAGUAAUUCUCUCUCAAAUACAUUUAAAUUUCUCCUGCAACAAAACUUCCAAAUCACCCUACAUCAGGAAAGCCGCAUGGUCAAAGCCACAAAUUCCAAAUUUUCCAAGGUCAGAGAGCUUACACCAAGAUGGUAACUAAGUGGCAGACUAACAUCAGCCUCCUCCUCUAUCCCUAAGGCAGGUAGCACUAAUGAGUCACACAAGUCUUUCUUGAUGGACAGGAGCCAGUCUUAGAAUGCCUCUCAACAAGGCUCUCCAGCAGACCACUUCAUGGGGCUGGCACACACGCACACACUUGGAAGCCUCUUUGCCAUCCCCAGUGUUUUUUGUAAGAAUGCAGGCCGAUUUCCACAGGCUUAUCUCCAGACAGAAGGAUUUAGCUAUUGUGUAAUCAGGUGCACACAAAGGAUGUAUGGCUUUGCAGCACCUGUGUGCAAAAAUUCUGCGGUAUUAGUUUAGUCGAGGAAAACAGUGGGCAUCCUUUUAUCAUGAUUUUUGAG